rnacentral:rRNA from 1 species
GAUGAACGCUGGCGGCGUGCCUAAUACAUGCAAGUCGAGCGAACGGACGAGAAGCUUGCUUCUCUGAUGUUAGCGGCGGACGGGUGAGUAACACGUGGAUAACCUACCUAUAAGACUGGGAUAACUUCGGGAAACCGUAGCUAAUACCGGAUAAUAUUUUGAACCGCUUGGUUCAAAAGUGAAAGACGGUCUUGCUGUCACUUAUAGAUGGAUCCGCGCUGCAUUAGCUAGUUGGUAAGGUAACGGCUUACCAAGGCAACGAUGCAUAGCCGACCUGAGAGGGUGAUCGGCCACACUGGAACUGAGACACGGUCCAGACUCCUACGGGAGGCAGCAGUAGGGAAUAUUCCGCAAUGGGCGAAAGCCUGACGGAGCCACACCGCGUGGGUGAUGAAGGUCUUCGGAUCGUAAAACUCUGUUAUUAGGAAAGAACAUAUGUGUAAGUAACUGUGGACAUCUUGACGGUACCUAAUCAAAAAGCAACGGCUAACUACGUG